rnacentral:rRNA from 1 species
UGGCUCAGGACGAACGCUGGCGGCGUGCUUAACACAUGCAAGUCGAGCGGAAAGGCCCUUUCGGGGGUACUCGAGCGGCGAACGGGUGAGUAACACGUGAGUAAUCUGCCCUUGGCUUUGGGAUAACUACCGGAAACGGUGGCUAAUACCGGAUAUGACCAUGCUCGGCAUCGGGUGUGGUGGAAAGUUUUUCGGCCAGGGAUGUGCUCGCGGCCUAUCAGCUUGUUGGUGGGGUAAUGGCCUACCAAGGCUUCGACGGUAGCCGGCCUGAGAGGGUGACCGGCCACACUGGGACUGAGACACGGCCCAGACUCCUACGGGAGGCAGCAGUGGGGAAUAUUGGACAAUGGGCGGAAGCCUGAUCCAGCAACGCCGCGUGAGGGAUGACGGCCUUCGGGUUGUAAACCUCUUUCAGUACCGACGAAGCGCCGAUGAUGGUGGUGACGGUAGGUACAGAAGAAGCACCGGCCAACUACGUG